rnacentral:rRNA from 1 species
UACAGAGGUGGCAAGCGUUGUUCGGAUUUACUGGGCGUAAAGGGUGCGUAGGUGGUUUCGUAUGUCGGAUGUGAAAGCCCGCUGCUCAACGGCGGAAAUGCAUUCGAAACUGCGAAACUGGAGUGCAGGAGGGGAGAGCGGAAUACUCGGUGUAGCGGUGAAAUGCGUUGAUAUCGAGUAGAACACCGGUGGCGUAGGCGGCUCUCUGGAAUGCAACUGACACUGAGGCACGAAAGUCAGGGGAGCAAACAGG